GUCCUCGUCGAUUAGUGGUUAAAUCAUGACGUUGUGGUAUUCAUUAUCGCAAUACCGUCAAGCCGCCGGCUCGACUCCGGCCGAGGACA